GCGAGUGUGCUGGAACUGGUAGACAGGCACGUUUGAGGGGGCGUGUGUCGAUCGACGUACGGGUUCAAGUCCCGUCACUCGCACCA
rnacentral:tRNA from 1 species